rnacentral:lncRNA from 13 species
CACAGCAGGUGUGACCUUUCAGUUUACUGCUUUCCACUGGCCUUUUCAAAUACAGAAGCUUAUAUGUAAUGUGAUCUUUAGCAGCAGCAAAGACAGGCGCACUUAUAGGAAUGAGAACAGGCAGUAGCAGGUGCUUUGUCAUUCAUGGCGGUAGCCUGUUACAAAUCACAAAGUAACUGGCAUGGCAUGAAAAUCUGAAGGACCAAAACCUGCUCUAAUCUUGGUAGUAUAUACAAGGUCUUACUGUCAUCCGGGAUGAAAUACAGUGGUGCGAUCACUGUUCCCUGCAGUCUCAACCUCUCAGAGCUCAGAUGAUUCUCCCACCUCAGCCUCUAAAGUAGCUGGGACUACAAGUAUGUGCCACACCUAGACAAUUUUUUUGUGUUGCCCAGGCUGGUCUCAAACCCCUGGAUUCAAGCAGUCUACUCACCUGGGCCUCACAAAGUCCUGGGAUUACAGGCAUGAGCCACUACACCAAGCAAGGUCCUAAGAACUGUUUCUCCUGGAAUAACCUGUUGUCACUCCCUGAUCGGUAUGUACUGUUAUUAUGUUUUUGUGUACAUUUUGUCAAGCUAAUGUAACGUGAUUUUAUUUCUCUCACAUCGUCUAUAGGGCCUUACAUAAACCUGAACCUAAUAAAGACAUGUGGGACAUAAUCUCA